ACGGUGAUGGUGAAGAGUGGUGUGGAGGUGCAGCCGUGUCCGGUCAAGGUGUUGGACACCGACACCAUCACACAGGUCAAAGACAAGAUCCUAGACCAGAUCUAUAAAGGAGCUCCCUUCUCACAGAGACCUGCUGCAGACUCACUAGACCUGGAAUGGCGAUCGGGACAGGCGGGUCACCUUGACACUGUCAGACGAUGACGUCACAGCGAUCGUCCAGGGGCGCUGGAAGAAACUCAACACUCUGCAGCACUACAAGGUGCCAGACGGAGCUACAGUGGCUCUGAUCCCCAGAUCAGCUGCUUGCAUGGGGAACACCAGGUCUACCAGACUGGAGAGAGUAAAUACUGUCAUACUAUAGAGC